GCCUAAUACAUGCAAGUCGUACGCACUGGCCCAACUAAUUGAUGGUGCUUGCACCUGAUUGACGAUGGAUCACCAGUGAGUGGCGGACGGGUGAGUAACACGUAGGUAACCUGCCCCGGAGCGGGGGAUAACAUUUGGAAACAGAUGCUAAUACCGCAUAACAACAAAAGCCACAUGGCUUUUGUUUGAAAGGUGGCUUUGGCUAUCACUCUGGGAUGGACCUGCGGUGCAUUAGCUAGUUGGUAAGGUAACGGCUUACCAAGGCGAUGAUGCAUAGCCGAGUUGAGAGACUGAUCGGCCACAAUGGAACUGAGACAUGGUCCAUACUCCUACGGGAGGCAGCAGUAGGGAAUCUUCCACAAUGGGCGCAAGCCUGAUGGAGCAACACCGCGUGAGUGAAGAAGGGUUUCGGCUCGUAAAGCUCUGUUGUUGGAGAAGAACGUGCGUGAGAGUAACUGUUCACGCAGUGACGGUAUCCAACCAGAAAGUCACGGCUAACUACGUGCCAGCAGCCGCGGUAAUACGUAGGUGGCAAGCGCUAUCCGGAUUUAUUGGGCGUAAAGCGAGCGCAGGCGGUUGCUUAGGUCUGAUGUGAAAGCCUUCGGCCUAACCGAAGAAGUGCAUCGGAAACCGGGCGACUUGAGUGCAGAAGAGGACAGUGGAACUCCAUGUGUAGCGGUGGAAUGCGUAGAUAUAUGGAAGAACACCAGUGGCGAAGGCGGCUGUCUGGUCUGCAACUGACGCUGAGGCUCGAAGCAUGGGUAGCGAACAGGAUUAGA
rnacentral:rRNA from 1 species